UGAAGCAGUCUCCAGCUUCUGUGCUCAGGGCUCGAACUCACAAACCACGAGACCAUGACCUGAGCCAAAGUUGGACUCCUAACUGACAGCCGCCUAGGCGCCCCAAGUGGCUACCUAUUUCUUAAGGACCAGAUUGCAGACCUUCCCCAGGGAAGGAGGGAGAGCCUGCUAGCGGCGCUAAGACCUCCCCUUCAGUAGCACACAGUGUGUGGAGAACUCGCGUCAUUUCUCACCGAUGCUGUGGAAGAGAUUCUUGGUCCUCUCUCCUGAAGAGCUUUGAAGGUCUCCCUGGCGUGUUAACAGGUGAAGCAGGAAAGCUCAGUUGGAUUCACAUUUUUGAGGCCCGUGCAGAAACGGUCACCGCUCAACCUUUGGUCUCUAGUUUAUUGUUUUAUGUACUUUGUUGUUGUUGUUUUUCCCCUCCCACUUUCUUAGUUGAAGCACAAAGAAGGCUUCGGUUGGGAGAGGGAGAAGGGGAUCUUUCCAGGUACAGACAGGGUCUGGUAGCUUGGGAAGGGGUAGGGCUAUAAUCCAGCUGGGUACCUGGACUUCGGGUGAGGGUCCUGGAAAGAAUGGGCUGAGAGCAGAGCUGUGGUUUGGAAUCCAGC